rnacentral:pre_miRNA from 1 species
AGCCUUCUGAACCCAUGCCGAGAUUUCGUCAGAAGCCAAACCAUCAGGAGUAAUGAGACCCCCAAGAUAAGUGAAGCA